AUUAAAAAAUAUUAUACUACACAUACAAGCGUUGCUUACAAUAUUUUAGCAAGUGAAGUGUUUCUUAUUUCUCUUUUGCAGCGUCUUGAGUUUCUUGGAAAUUCUGUACCGGAUUAUAUCACAACCAUGCAUCUGUACCAUAAAUACCCAGGAAUAUCACCUGGAUUGCUAACUGAUCUGAGAUCAGCUUCUGUAAACAAUGAUUUUUACUCUUUAUGUGCGAUUAGGGCUGGAUUGCAAAAGCACAUUCUUCAUGCUUCCCAAAAACUUCACAGGCAAUUGGAGUCCUCUCUUCAGAAAUUAGAUCCAUUAUUAAUGGAACAAUAUUUGGAUGGGAGUCAGAAAAUUCUCUUCCCAAGGUCAGUGUUCGAAGCUUGAUGUGAUUAUUUAUUUCCAUUUAAACUUCCCCUAACAACAUGUUUUUUGAAAAAAAGAAAGAAAGAAUGUUAUCUCUUAAAAACUAAAAUUAUAUAUAUUGGAUAAUAAGUAAUUUAUUGAUUAUAAUGGACUUACUUUUUGGCAUGAAUUAAAUCUUUAUAGAUAAAUACCUACAUUUGCACUUCCUAUGGAUUUAAGCAUUUAAGAUAGUGAUUCCCCCAUUCAUUUGAUUUUGUUGUGCAUGUGGUACACGUUCUUAGAGAUCUAAUAGAAUCUUUAGCAAGGGAAAUAGUAGGUUAUUCCGGAUAUAGAAAAGAUAUUGUAUUCGAGAGCAUAAGGCCGCUUUUGAAACCCUUGGUUUCUCUUGAGACGAUCAAGUUUUAACCAAUGAGAGAAUUGCAAUAGUUGUGCCAAAAAGAGAACUACGUGUUAAAAAGAGCCUGUUGUGUCAACUGACAAUUCUACAACAACUGUUAUAGCAGAGGUUGAAGCCAAUGACGUCAUAUAUAAAGAGUCAUGCACUGGUCCAAAUAAGGCAGGAGCCAAGAAUCGUGCUUCAAAAAGCUGUUUUCAGGUCGUUAAAAGAGAGUAUGUCCACCAAAUUUCUCCCACUUCCUCUCCUUUCAUCUCCCAAGCGUAAUAGGUAAAAGGAAGAGAAUUGAAAGUGUAAUGAUAACUUUGCAUGCUUCACUACUAUGAGUCCCUCGUAUGCUGAACUUUGAGUUUUCCGAUCUUUCAUUAAAAGGAUUUUAUUACAUUUUUUUUAAAACACAUGGUACUAGUGUUGAGAUAAGAAUUAAUUAAAAUGACAAUCUUAGGGGAUGUAAAUUGUAUAGAUUAAGAGUAAAAUAUUUUUAAAGAGUUCUCAUCCCCUAAGAUCUUUGAUUUUAAAGAUCUUUCUAUCUUUAAAAAUAUUUUACUCUUAAUCUGUACAAUUUACAUCCCCUAAGAUUGUCAUUUUCAACCACUCUCAUCCUAGCACUACUAACAAGUGUUUUAAAAAAAUAAUAAUAAAAACCUUUUGAUGAAAAAUUGGAGAACUCAAAGUUCAACAUAUGAGGAACUCACAGUAGUGAAGCAUACAAAGUUAUCAUUACUCUUUCACUUCUUUUCCUUUUGCCUUUUAUGCUUGGGAGAUGAAAGAGAGGAAUUGGACGAAAUUUGCCGGACAUGCUCUCUUUUAACGACCUCAAAACAGCUUUUGAAGCACUUUUUUUGGUUUGUGCCUUAUUUGGACCAGUGCAUGACUCUGUGUGUAUGAAGUCAUUGGCUUCAACCUCAACUGUAGCAGUUGCUGUAGACUUGUCAGUUGACACAACAGGCUCUUUCCAACACACGUAGUUCUCUUUUUGGCACAACUGUUGCAAUUCUCUCACUGGUUGAAACUUGAUCGUCUCAAGAGAAACCAAGGUUUUCAAAAGCGGCCUUAUGCUCUCGGAUUAUUACAAUAUCUUUUUCAUAUCCGGAAUCUACUAAUAUUGCCUUAGCUAGAGAUUUUAUUACAUCUCCAAGAUCCUUUACCACAUGCCCAACAAAAUCAAAUGAAUGCGGGAAUCACCAUCUUAAAUGCUUCUAUCCAUAGGAUUUGAAAAAAUAGGCUUUUAUCUGCAAAGCUUUAAUUCAUGCCAAAAAUGUAAGUCCAUUAUAAUCAAUAAUUCUAAAUUAAUUCAUGCCAAAAAAUUUGUUGAACCUGUAAGACAUUGUGCUUCGAUGAUUUUGGCUAUAAUUUAAAAAUAUUAUGUUAUUAAUAUUUUAGAUUGUUAUAAAUAGAAUACAUCACUUCAAUAUGGUAGUAAAUGAUGUCUAAUCUUCCCACAAAUUUCUUAAAGGCAUGUAGAGGUUUGACAAUUAUAGUCAGUCAUAACAGCUUGGCUAUAAUUAUAGAUAAGGGGAGAGUAUGGUUGGAGUGUGAUAUUUUGAACUGAUUAUCAAUUUUUUUUUUAUCUGUGCUAUGCCAACUCACUUUUUAACAAAGGGUUUUAAUGAUUGGAAUUUGACGCGGGUUGUCAUAUGCAUAUGGCCUUUAUGGGGCAUCCUGGUUUUGCCGGAGACCCUCCUCCAUCUUGUGAGAGGACUGAACCAACUUGGCGAACGGUGCAAGCAGGAUGAAGUAGUGUUUUCCGUUGCGCGAUAAACAUAUGGCUUCUUUUACAAUCAAGGUCAAGUAAGAGGUGUCAUGCAAACUCAUCCGUGCUUCCGGUAAAGUUGUUGCCAAGAGGCCGGUUAAGAAAGCUUUUCUCAAGUAAUUAAAUGAGAGCAUGUUGAACAUGCCACAACUUGUCCCUGCCAAAAGAGGGCAUGUGAAGCAGAUAGAAGAAAAAGAAGAUAUUCUGAUAAAUUUUAUUAAUUGACUUCCCACUAGAAGUGGUGCUUUAUGCAUAGAAGGCCAUAGUGAUUUAUUCUUUGUAGGAAGAUUACUUGGUAGAAGUUUGGAAAUAAAUUUUACCGGCUCUUAGUUGAGUUACGUUUGUUAACGAGACAGUGUCUUCCGUCAUAUAAAAUUGUUAGCUGAAAUUAGUUAAAUGUUAUUAUAAAAAGUUCAAAUCUAGAUGAAGUUUGAUACUUUACACUUUUGUAUAAUGCACAACUCACAAUUAUAUUUUAUUAUUUUAUUUAUGUGGAGUCUAAGUCCAUUAAACUUUGAGCACUAUGAAUCCUAGUUCACAUGAUCCAAGCACAUUUUUAAUGUUAGAGUUGCCAUAAAACCAAUAUAUAGUGUAAUAUAAUAGUCCAACAUCAUUGCCAUAACAUUUAUAGCCAACAUCGUAGGAGAUGCUCUAAACUAGUAAUAUUUAUUUGGGAAAUGAAAUGUAUACUUCACAUUAAAAAAUAUUAUACUACACAUACAAGCGUUGCUUACAAUAUUUUAGCAAGUGAAGUGUUUCUUAUUUCUCUUUUGCAGCAUCUUGAGUUUCUUGGAAAUUCUGUACCGGAUUAUAUCAGAACCAUGCAUCUGUACCAUAAAUACCCAGGAAUAUCACCUGGAUUGCUAACUGAUCUGAGAUCAGCUUCUGUAAACAAUGAUUUUUACUCUUUAUGUGCGAUUAGGGCCGGAUUGCAGAAGCACAUUCUUCAUGCUUCCCAAAAACUUCACAGGCAAUUGGAGUCCUCUCUUCAGAAAUUAGAUCCAUUAUUAAUGGAACAAUAUUUGGAUGGGAUUCAGAAAAUUCUCUUCCCAAGGUCAGUGUUCGAAGCUUGAUGUAAUUAUUUAUUUCCAUGUAAACUUCUCCUAACAACAUGUUUUUUGAAAAAAAAAAGAGAGAAAGGAAUGUUAUCUCAUAAAAACUAAAAUUAUAUAUAUUGGAUAAUAAGUAAUUUAUUGAUUAUAAU
rnacentral:lncRNA from 1 species